rnacentral:rRNA from 1 species
GACGAACGCUGGCGGCGUGCCUAAUACAUGCAAGUAGAACGCUGAAGGAGGAGCUUGCUUCUCUGGAUGAGUUGCGAACGGGUGAGUAACGCGUAGGUAACCUGCCUGGUAGCGGGGGAUAACUAUUGGAAACGAUAGCUAAUACCGCAUAAUAGCAGUUAUUGCAUGAUAACUGUUUGAAAGGUGCAAUUGCAUCACUACCAGAUGGACCUGCGUUGUAUUAGCUAGUUGGUGAGGUAACGGCUCACCAAGGCGACGAUACAUAGCCGACCUGAGAGGGUGAUCGGCCACACUGGGACUGAGACACGGCCCAGACUCCUACGGGAGGCAGCAGUAGGGAAUCUUCGGCAAUGGACGGAAGUCUGACCGAGCAACGCCGCGUGAGUGAAGAAGGUUUUCGGAUCGUAAAGCUCUGUCGUAAGGGAAGAACGAGUGUGAGAGUGGAAAGUUCACACUGUGACGUAUCUACCAGAAAGGACG